rnacentral:rRNA from 1 species
GAUGAACGCUGGCGGCGUGCCUAAUACAUGCAAGUCGAGCGAACAGACGAGGAGCUUGCUCCUCUGACGUUAGCGGCGGACGGGUGAGUAACACGUGGAUAACCUACCUAUAAGACUGGGAUAACUUCGGGAAACCGGAGCUAAUACCGGAUAAUAUAUUGAACCGCAUGGUUCAAUAGUGAAAGACGGUUUUGCUGUCACUUAUAGAUGGAUCCGCGCCGCAUUAGCUAGUUGGUAAGGUAACGGCUUACCAAGGCAACGAUGCGUAGCCGACCUGAGAGGGUGAUCGGCCACACGGGAACUGGGACACGGUCCAGACUCCUACGGGAGGCAGCAGUAGGGAAUCGUCCGCAAUGGGCGAGAGCCUGACGGAGCAGCGCCGCGUGAGUGAUGAAGAUCUUCGGAUCGUAAAACUCUGUUAUUAGGGAAGAACAAAUGUGUAAGUAAAUAUGCACGUCUUGACGGUACCUAAUCAGAAAGCCACGGCUAACUACGUG